GACGAACGCUGGCGGCGUGCUUAACACAUGCAAGUCGAACGGAAAGGCCCUGCUUGCAGGGUACUCGAGUGGCGAACGGGUGAGUAACACGUGGGUGAUCUGCCCUGCACUUCGGGAUAAGCCUGGGAAACUGGGUCUAAUACCGGAUAGGAGCCACUUUUAGUGUGAUGGUUAGAAAGUUUUUUCGGUGUAGGAUGAGCUCGCGGCCUAUCAGCUUGUUGGUGGGGUAAUGGACUACCAAGGCGGCGACGGGUAGCCGGCCUGAGAGGGUGGACGGCCACAUUGGGACUGAGAGACGGCCCAGACUCCUACGGGAGGCAGCAGUGGGGAAUAUUGCACAAUGGGCGCAAGCCUGAUGCAGCGACGCCGCGUGGGGGAUGACGGCCUUCGGGUUGUAAACUCCUUUCGCUAGGGACGAAGCUUUUUGUGACGGUACCUAGAGAAGAAGCACCGGCUAACUACGUG
rnacentral:rRNA from 1 species